rnacentral:rRNA from 1 species
ACGCUCCCGACACCUACGGGAGGCAGCAGUAGGGAAUCUUCCACAAUGGGCGCAAGCCUGAUGGAGCAACACCGCGUGAGUGAAGAAGGGUUUCGGCUCGUAAAGCUCUGUUGUUGGAGAAGAACGUGCGUGAGAGUAACUGUUCACGCAGUGACGGUAUCCAACCAGAAAGUCACGGCUAACUACGUACCAGCAGCCGCGGUAAUCUGAGCGGGCUGGCAAGGC